UACGGAGGGGUGCAAGCGUUAUCCGGAAUCACUGGGCGUAAAAGGGUGCGUAGGCGGGUCUUUUAAGUCAGGGGUGAAAUCCUGGAGCUCAACUCCAGAACUGCCUUUGAUACUGAAGAUCUUGAGUUCGGGAGAGGUGAGUGGAACUGCGAGUGUAGAGGUGAAAUUCGUAGAUAUUCGCAAGGAACACCAGGUGGCAGGAAGGCGG
rnacentral:rRNA from 1 species